GUCUCCGUAGUUUGGUCGGAAGAACACCGGACUAAUGUGCGGUGGAACUCGGGUUCGAGCCCCGCUGAAGGCA